ACUCUUGGCGAUGAUGACUUGGUGUCGUACCUGCUUGCAGGACUCGACAUCGAAUACAACCCUCUUGUGACCUUGAUGACCACCUCUCUUGCUCGAUCUGACAAGGUUUCCAUCAGCGAUCUUUACUCACAGGUCGUCAGCUUCGAUU
rnacentral:snoRNA from 1 species